UAGAGUUUGAUCCUGGCUCAGGAUGAACGCUGGCGGCGUGUCUUAGGCAUGCAAGUCGAAUGUCUCUUUGAGGCAUGGCAGACGGGUUAGUAUGACAGUGGUAACCUACCCUAGAGUGUUGAAUAACCUUCCGAAAGGAGGGCUAAUGCAAAAUGGUCAGAACGUUACUUAUGUUUUGUUCUGUAAAGUUCCGGCGCUCUAGGAGGGGCCUUUGUACUAUCAGCUUGUUGGUGAGGUAACGGCUCACCAAGGCUAUGACGGUUAGCGGGUGUGAGAGCAUGGCCCGCAACACUGGGACUGAAACACUGCCCAGACUCCUACGGGAGGCUGCAGUCGAGAAUCUUCCGCAAUGCAGGAAACUGUGACGGAGCGACGCCGCGUGCCAGAAGAAGCCCUUAGGGGUGUAAAUGGCUUUUAUCAGGGAAAAACUAGCGAUGGUACCUGAUGAAUAAGAGGUUGCUAACUACGUGCCAGCAGCAGCGGUAAUACGUGGACCUCAAGCGUUAUCCGGAUUUAUUGGGCGUAAAGCGCUAAAAGGCGGUUUAGAAAGUCGGAUAUAAAAGCCCGUGGCUCAACCUCGGUCCUAUGUCCGAAACUACUAGACUAGAGGGUGGAAGAGGCAAGCGGAAUGGCCGGUGUAGCAGUAAAAUGCGUUAAUAUCGGCUAGAACACCAAUGGCGAAGGCAGCUUGCUGGUACACUCCUGACGCUAAAUAGCGAAAGCGUGGGUAGCGAAUGGGAUUAGAUACCCCAGUAGUCCACGCCGUAAACGCUGAGUGCUAGGUAUCGGGGACUCGACCUCCUCGGUAUUGUUUUAACCAAGCUAACGCGUUAAGCACUCCGCCUGGGGAGUAUAGUCGCAAGGCUAAAACUCAAAGGAAUUGACGGGGACCCGCACAAGCGGUGGAGCACGUGGUUUAAUUCGACGAUAAGCGAGGAACCUUACCCAGACUUGACAUCCAGCGAACGCCUCCGAAACGAGGCCGUGCCUUCGGGAACGCUGUGACAGGUACUGCAUGGUUGCCGUCAGCUCGUGCUGUGAAGUGUACGGUUAAGUCCGAUAACGAGCGCAACCCACAUUCUAUGUUAGAUUGUUCAUGGAAAACUGCCUGGGAUAACCAGGAGGAAGGUGUGGAUGACGUCAAAUCAGCAUGGUCCUUACGUCUGGGGCUACACACAUGCUACAAUGGGUAGAAUAAAGGGGCGCCAAGUCGCAAGACGGAGCAAAUCCCAUCAAAUCUACUCCCAGUUCGGAUUGAGGGCUGCAAUUCGCCCUCAUGAAGCCGGAAUCGCUAGUAACCGUAUAUCAGCAAUGGUACGGUGAAUACGUUCUCGGGUCUUGUACACACCGCCCGUCAAGCCAAGAGAGUCGGUAAUACCCGAAGUCCCUUCCUUUGGUUGGGCCGAAGGUAGGACCGAUGAUAGGGGCUAAGUCGUAACAAGGUA
rnacentral:rRNA from 1 species